CAGGGACUCCGAUGCCUCGCGGGACUUGUUUUGCUGUCAGACCACGCUAGCCCCCACGUCCACAGCUCCCCAUGGAGAAGAUGUGUCAGAGGAUGUUCUGGGUCAGCCAUGGGAAGAGACAAUGUCUGAGCAGAUAAGGGCUUUCUGCCAAAUUACCACUGAUGUGUUUGAUCUUUGGGAGAGUAAAUAAAAACGAGCUGGCUCGAGCUAACAACUGGAAACUGCUGAGAUGGUCUGGAUAAUGGCUUCUUGACAGCCAUCCUUCCACUGAGACCGUUUCUGAUGAGACUUCACUGAACAGCACACCAAUCGACUGAAAGACCAGAUGCAUCUCUCAGGUCCUGUGUCAGAUACAACACUGGUUCAUCCCUUGAGUUACAUAAUUUUUACGCUGGAUUGAUUCAUAGGUCAGUGUUAAGUGGAUCAACGAACCAAAAGUAAUUCCUCUGAAAUUGGUCGGGUACAAGGACU